GACGAACGCUGGCGGCGUGCUUAACACAUGCAAGUCGAACGGAAAGGCCCUGCUUGCAGGGUACUCGAGUGGCGAACGGGUGAGUAACACGUGGGUUAUCUGCCCUGCACUUCGGGAUAAGCCUGGGAAACUGGGUCUAAUACCGGAUAGGAGCCAUUUUUAGUGUGAUGGUUGGAAAGUUUUUUCGGUGUAGGAUGAGUUCGCGGCCUAUCAGCUUGUUGGUGGGGUAAUGGCCUACCAAGGCGGCGACGGGUAGCCGGCCUGAGAGGGUGGACAGCCACAUUGGGACUGAGAUACGGCCCAGACUCCUACGGGAGGCAGCAGUGGGGAAUAUUGCACAAUGGGCGCAAGCCUGAUGCAGCGACGCCGCGUGGGGGAUGACGGCCUUCGGGUUGUAAACUCCUUUCGCUAGGGACGAAGCUUUUUGUGACGGUACCUAGAUAAGAAGCACCGGCUAACUACGUG
rnacentral:rRNA from 1 species